GAAAUGCGAUAAGUAAUGUGAAUUGCAGAAUUCAGUGAAUCAUCGAAUCUUUGAACGCACCUUGCGCUCCUUGGUAUUCCUUGGAGCAUGCCUGUUUGAGUAUCAUGAAAUCUUCAAAGUAAAUCUUUUGUUAACUCAAUUGGUUUCUACUUUGGUAUUGGAGGUCUUUGCAGCUUCACACCUGCUCCUCUUUGUUCAUUAGCUGGAUCUCAGUGUUAUGCUUGGUUCCACUCGGCGUGAUAAGUUAUCUAUCGCUGAGGACACUGUAAAAGGUGGCCAAGGUAAAUGCAGAUGAACCGCUUCUAAUAGUCCAUUGACUUGGACAAUACUAUUAUGAUCUGAUCUCAAAUCAGGUAGGACUACCCGCUGAACUUAAGA
rnacentral:misc_RNA from 1 species